rnacentral:rRNA from 1 species
CCUACGGGAGACAGCAGUCGAGAAUCAUUCACAAUGGGGGAAACCCUGAUGGUGCGACGCCGCGUGGGGGAAUGAAGGUCUUCGGAUUGUAAACCCCUGUCAUGUGGGAGCAAAUUAAAAAGAUAGUACCACAAGAGGAAGAGACGGCUAACUCUGUGCCAGCAGCCGCGGUAAUACAGAGGUCUCACGCGUUGUUCGGAAUCACCGGACGUAAGGCGUUCGUAGGCUGUUUCGUAAGUCGUGUGUGAAAGGCGCGGGCUCAACCCGCGGACGGCACAUGAUACUGCGAGACUAGAGUAAUGGAGGGGGAACCGGAAUUCUAGGUGUAGCAGUGAAAUGCGUAGAUAUCGAGAGGAACACUCGUGGCGAAGGCGGGUUCCUGGACAUUAACUGACGCUGAGGCACGAAGGCCAGGGGAGCGAAAGGGAUUAGAUACCCGAGUAGUC